UACGUAGGGUGCAAGCGUUAAUCGGAAUUACUGGGCGUAAAGCGUGCGCAGGCGGUUUUGUAAGCCCGAUGUGAAAUCCCCGGGCUUAACUUGGGAACUGCAUUUGGGACUGCAAGGCUGGAGUACGGCAGAGGGAGGUGGAAUUCCACGUGUAGCAGUGAAAUGCGUAGAGAUGUGGAGGAACACCGAUGGCGAAGGCAGCCUCCUGGGCUAGUACUGACGCUCAUGCACGAAAGCGUGGGGAGCAAACAGG
rnacentral:rRNA from 1 species